rnacentral:rRNA from 1 species
CCUACGGGAGGCAGCAGUGAGGAAUAUUGGUCAAUGGGCGGGAGCCUGAACCAGCCAAGCCGCGUGAGGGAAGAAGGUACUGCGUUUCGUAAACCGCUUUUGUCGGGGAGCAAAAGACGCCACGCGUGGCGUUCUGAGAGUACCCGAAGAAAAAGCAUCGGCUAACUCCGUGACAGCAGCCGCGGUAAUACGGAGGAUGCGAGGGUUAUCCGGUUUUAUUGGGUUUAAGGGGAGCGCAGGCGGAAGAUCAGGACAGCUGUAAAAUUGAGAGGCUCAACCAGGUCUUGCCGUUGAAACUGGUGUUCUUGAGUGAGCGGGAAGCAUGCGGAAUGCGUGGUGUAGCGGUGAAAUGCAUAGAUAUGACGAAGAACUCCGAUUGCGAAGGCAGCUUGCUGGAGCGCAACUGACGCUGAUGCACGAAAGUGUGGGUAUCGAACAGGAUUAGAUACCCCGGUAGUC